UGGGGAAUUUUGGACAAUGGGGGCAACCCUGAUCCAGCAAUGCCGCGUGCAGGAAGAAGGCCUUCGGGUCGUAAACUGCUGUUGUACGGAACGAAAAGGCUCUGGUUAAUACCUGGGGCAUAUGACGGUACCGUAAGAAUAAGCACAGGCUAACUACGUGCCAGCAGCCGCGGUCAUACGUAGGGUGCAAGCAUUAUCCGGAGUGACUGGGCGUAAAGAGUUGCGUAGGCGGUUAGUAAAGCGAAUAGUGAAACCUGGUGGCUCAACCAUACAGACUAUUAUUCGAACUCACCAUCUCGAGUGUGUUAGAGGUAACUGGAAUUUCUUGUGUAGGAGUGAAAUCCGUAGAUAUAAGAAGGAACACCAAUGGCGUAGGCAGGUUACUGGACCAUUUCUGACGCUAAGGCACGAAAGCGUGGGG
rnacentral:rRNA from 1 species